CCCUCCCAAGAUAUCGUUCCCCUCAAAAGGAAAAUAAUUCUCAGCCCCCUUAACCUAAAUUUACGUCCCCAAUUCGUCGAUCUCAACUUCCGUGCUCUCUCUCUUAACCCUAAAUCGGCCCAUCUCUCCAAUAUCAAUUUAUCGGUCUCCUCCUUCUACACAACCGCUAUGGAUUAGGGCGAGCACGAGGAAACGUAACGGUGAUAAUUGUCGAGUGGUUUUCUAUGAUGAUUCUCGAAUCGUCUACCACGGUUAUUCUUUAAGAGUUACAGGAAACCAAAAGUAAUUUUGAUCUCUGGCAUUAAUGGAGGUGGAAAACCUACAUCUCAUGGGCAUCUGCGAGACUACAAGUGACCAACUGAAAAUUGGGGCCGAAAGAACCAGCUGCUAGAUUGUUUGCCUUCUAAGACCAUCCGUAGUCGUGAGUUAUUGGGCGUUUUUGAGCCAAAGCACCCCCCCCCCCACGCCAGAUCUUCCGCCCCCAUGGGCGUUGUUUUGGACCUUCAGCCCGCUCGCAACAACCACCACCUUGUUUUUGGCCCAAGAAAAAGGGGAUAUAAUUCUUGUUUUAGUUAAUGCACACGGACAACCUAUUAAUGACAAAGGUAGUCAACUGACCCAUUUCAUGGGAACCCUUUCAAGGAGUGGAAAGUAUUGUCCGAUUUAUAAACCAUGGAAUAAAGUUAAGGCCACCAAAAAACAAGUGUUGCUUGCACUCUUAAAGACAAAAUUUGAUAUUCCGGAAGUUGCUGAUGGCUGGAUAUUGCAAUCAUUUGGGCGGAAGGUGAAGAACUGGAGGGCAAGAGUUAAGGAACUAUACUAUGAUUUGUCUUUGUCACCGAAGGAACAAAUAAGUUCUAGGCCAAAACAAGUGAAAAAAAAAAAAAAAACAAUGGACGAGACUUGUGAAGUAUUGGAAUAAAGAAAAGUCUAGGGUAUGAAAUAGCCUACCACUCUGAAAUUUCACUUGUCUAUUGAAGAUGGUUUAUUUGUAGGUAGUCCAUGAGGAUUGAGGACGCAUGAUGACACAAGAUUUUAUGCUUCUUAUUUCUUUAAUUGCUUUAAUUUCUUUGUUAAAUCUUAAGACUUUAUGUUAGAUAAUGUUAUAACUUAUUUAUGGUUAGUGUUUUUCUUAUGAACAUGAUUAUUUAAAAUAUAAUGAAUUUUUAUUU